AUACGGAGGGUGCAAGCGUUAUUCGGAAUUAUUGGGCGUAAAGGGCGCGUAGGCGGCCAGCCAAGUCAGGGGUGAAAGGCCUGGGCUCAACCCGGGAACUGCCUUUGAAACUGAAGGUCUAGAGACCGAGAGAGGAUAGCGGAAUUCCCAGUGUAGAGGUGAAAUUCGUAGAUAUUGGGAAGAACACCAGUGGCGAAGGCGGCUAUCUGGCUCGGUACUGACGCUGAGGCGCGAAAGCGUGGGGAGCAAACAGGAUUAGAAACCCCGGUAGUCC
rnacentral:rRNA from 1 species